GACCGCCGUGCGGGCAAAUUUGAGGCUAAAUUUUUCCACAAGAUUUUACAAGAAUAAAUUGGUGGCGUUAAAGGACAUUUUGGACCAAUCAACGCAUUGGCAUUUAAUCCUGAUGGGCGGAGCUUUUCGAGCGGUGGUGAGGAUGGUUAUGUAAGGCUGCACCAUUUUGAUCUGGAGUAUUUUAACAUCAAGAUGUAAUCCUGUGAAUUUGCCAGAGGAAUGGCUCAUGUCCCUUUUCAGCUAAGCGUGAACUACUGCAACUUGCUUAUACAUUUUGUAAGUGUGGUUAUUUUUGUUCCCUAUGUUAUUUUUUUCUCGCUGCAUCAUCAUUUGUAUUGUUACCAAAUCUCUCUUUUGCUCCUGGCCUUUGCUUAUACUUUCAUUUACUAACC